UACGUAGGUGGCGAGCGUUGUCCGGAAUUAUUGGGCGUAAAGGGCGCGUAGGCGGCUUUGCAAGUGACGGGUGAAAGCCCUCGGCUUAACCGAGGAACUGCCUGUCAGACUGUAAGGCUUGAGACCGGGAGAGGUGAGUGGAAUUCCCAGUGUAGCGGUGAAAUGCGUAGAUAUUGGGAGGAACACCAGUGGCGAAGGCGGCUCACUGGACCGGUAUUGACGCUGAGGCGCGAAAGCCAGGGGAGCAAACGGG
rnacentral:rRNA from 1 species